rnacentral:rRNA from 1 species
AGUGAACGCUGGCGGUAGGCCUAACACAUGCAAGUCGAACGGCAGCACAGUAAGAGCUUGCUCUUACGGGUGGCGAGUGGCGGACAGGUGAGGAAUACAUCGGAAUCUACUUUUUCGUGGGGGAUAACGUAGGGAAACUUACGCUAAUACCGCAUACGACCUACGGGUGAAAGCAGGGGAUCUUCGGACCUUGCGCGAUUGAAUGAGCCGAUGUCGGAUUAGCUAGUUGGCGGGGUAAAGGCCCACCAAGGCGACGAUCCGUAGCUGGUCUGAGAGGAUGAUCAGCCACACUGGAACUGAGACACGGUCCAGACUCCUGCGGGAGGCAGCAGUGGGGAAUAUUGGACAAUGGGCGCAAGCCUGAUCCAGCCAUACCGCGUGGGUGAAGAAGGCCUUCGGGUUGUAAAGCCCUUUUGUUGGGAAAGAAAAGCAGCAGGUUAAUACCCCGCUGUUCUGACGGUACCCAAAGAAUAAGCACCGGCUAACUUCGUG